CCUACGGGCGGCAGCAGUGGGGAAUAUUGGACAAUGGGGGCAACCCUGAUCCAGCCAUGCCGCGUGUGUGAAGAAGGCCCUCGGGUUGUAAAGCACUUUCAGUGAGGAAGAACGCCUGGUGGUUAAUACCCAUCAGGAAAGACAUCACUCACAGAAGAAGCACCGGCUAACUCCGUGCCAGCAGCCGCGGUAAUACGGAGGGUGCGAGCGUUAAUCGGAAUUACUGGGCGUAAAGCGCGCGUAGGUGGCUUGAUAAGCCGGUUGUGAAAGCCCCGGGCUCAACCUGGGAACGGCAUCCGGAACUGUCAAGCUAGAGUGCAGGAGAGGAAGGUAGAAUUCCCGGUGUAGCGGUGAAAUGCGUAGAGAUCGGGAGGAAUACCAGUGGCGAAGGCGGCCUUCUGGACUGACACUGACACUGAGGUGCGAAAGCGUGGGUAGCAAACAGGAUUAGAUACCCCCGUAGUC
rnacentral:rRNA from 1 species